GAUGAACGCUGGCGGCGUGCCUAAUACAUGCAAGUCGAGCGAACAGACGAGGAGCUUGCUCCUCUGACGUUAGCGGCGGACGGGUGAGUAACACGUGGAUAACCUACCUAUAAGACUGGGAUAACUUCGGGAAACCGGAGCUAAUACCGGAUAAUAUAUUGAACCGCAUGGUUCAAUAGUGAAAGACGGUUUUGCUGUCACUUAUAGAUGGAUCCGCGCCGCAUUAGCUAGUUGGUAAGGUAACGGCUUACCAAGGCAACGAUGCGUAGCCGACCUGAGAGGGUGAUCGGCCACACUGGAACUGAGACACGGUCCAGACUCCUGCGGGAGGCAGCAGUAGGGAAUCUUCCGCAAUAGGCGAAAGCCUGACGGAGCAACGCCGCGUGAGUGAUGAAGGUCUUCGGAUCGUAAAACUCUGUUAUUAGGGAAGAACAAAUGUGUAAGUAACUAUGCACGUCUUGACGGUACCUAAUCAGAAAGCCACGGCUAACUACGUG
rnacentral:rRNA from 1 species